rnacentral:rRNA from 1 species
GUGCAGCAGUCGCGAAUACUUUACAAUGUGCGAAAGCACGAUAAGGGAACUCUGAGUGCCUCCUAAGGAGGCUGUUCAGGUGUCUAAAAGCACCUGAAGGAAGGGCUGGGUAAGACCGGUGCCGGCCGCCGCGGUAACACCGGCAGCCCAAGUGGUAGCCACGUUUAUUGGGUCUAAAGCGUCCGUAGCCGGCUGGGUAAGUUCCUUGGGAAAUUUGGCUGCUUAACAGUCAAGCUUUCAGGGAAUACUGCCCGGCUUGGGACCGGGAGAGGUCAGAGGUACUCCAGGGGUAGGGGUGAAAUCCAUUAAUCCUUGGGGGACCACCGGUAGCGAAGGCGUCUGACCAGACCGGGUCCGACGGUGAGGGACGAAGGCUAGGGGCGCGAACCGGAUUAGAUACCCCUGUAGU